UACGGAGGAUCCAAGCGUUAUCCGGAUUUCCUGGGUGUAAAGGGAGCGUAGACGGCGAUGCAAGCCAGAUGUGAAAGCCCGCGGCUCAACUGCGGUAGUGCAUUUGGAACUGUAUGGCUGGAGUGCAGGAGAGGCAGGCGGAAUUCCUAGUGUAGCGGUGAAAUGCGUAGAUAUUAGGAGGAACACCAGUGGCGAAGGCGGCCUGCUGGACGAUGACUGACGUUGAGGCUCGAAAGCGUGGGGAGCAAACAGG
rnacentral:rRNA from 1 species